GCCCAGACUCCUACGGGAGGCAGCAGUAGGGAAUCUUCCGCAAUGGACGAAAGUCUGACGGAGCAACGCCGCGUGAGUGAUGAAGGUUUUCGGAUCGUAAAGCUCUGUUGUUAGGGAAGAACAAGUACCGUUCGAAUAGGGCGGUACCUUGACGGUACCUAACCAGAAAGCCACGGCUAACUACGUGCCAGCAGCCGCGGUAAUACGUAGGUGGCAAGCGUUGUCCGGAAUUAUUGGGCGUAAAGGGCUCGCAGGCGGUUCCUUAAGUCUGAUGUGAAAGCCCCCGGCUCAACCGGGGAGGGUCAUUGGAAACUGGGGAACUUGAGUGCAGAAGAGGAGAGUGGAAUUCCACGUGUAGCGGUGAAAUGCGUAGAGAUGUGGAGGAACACCAGUGGCGAAGGCGACUCUCUGGUCUGUAACUGACGCUGAGGAGCGAAAGCGUGGGGAGCGAACAGGAUUAGAUACCCUGGUAGUCCACGCCGUAAACGAUGAGUGCUAAGUGUUAGGGGGUUUCCGCCCCUUAGUGCUGCAGCUAACGCAUUAAGCACUCCGCCUGGGGAGUACGGUCGCAAGACUGAAACUCAAAGGAAUUGACGGGGGCCCGCACAAGCGGUGGAGCAUGUGGUUUAAUUCGAAGCAACGCGAAGAACCUUACCAGGUCUUGACAUCCUCUGACAAUCCUAGAGAUAGGACGUCCCCUUCGGGGGCAGAGUGACAGGUGGUGCAUGGUUGUCGUCAGCUCGUGUCGUGAGAUGUUGGGUUAAGUCCCGCAACGAGCGCAACCCUUGAUCUUAGUUGCCAGCAUUCAGUUGGGCACUCUAAGGUGACUGCCGGUGACAAACCGGAGGAAGGUGGGGAUGACGUCAAAUCAUCAUGCCCCUUAUGACCUGGGCUACACACGUGCUACAAUGGAC
rnacentral:rRNA from 1 species